GCCUGGAUGGCUCAGCCGGUAGAGCAUCCGACUUCAGCUCAGAUCAUGCUCUCACGGCUCGUGGGUUCAAGCCCCACAUUGGGCU
rnacentral:tRNA from 1 species